rnacentral:lncRNA from 15 species
AUGUUAGAUGAUCUUAAAAAACUUGCAAGUGAUGGUAUCACUAUAACCGUAGAUGGGAUUGAGCAGACUAUUCAUGCUGCACUAGCAACAUUUUCAGCCGAUAAUCUUUCAGCCCACAUGUUGGGUGGUUUUACUAUGUCAUUUAACUCGCACAGAGUUUGCCGCUAUUGCAUGGCAACAUAUACAGAAAUGAAAGAAAAAUUCAAUGAGGGCGAUUUUGUCUUGAGAAGCACAGAGGCACAUGAGUAUCAUUUGACAUGUAUUGAAAACCCUGAGCACAAAGUGACAUAUGGAGUAAACGGUCCUUCUCCAUUAAAUGAACUGAAGUAUUUUGAUGUGACAAAAACAUCUCCCCCUGAUAUAAUGCAUGACUUAUUGGAAGGAGUUAUUCCUCUUACGAUUAAACUAGUUGUGUGCCAAGCUCACAAAGAGAAGCACAUAACAAUUCAAGAGAUAAAUGAAGAACUACAACAACUUUCAAUUGGUCAGAAUGAUGCAAAAAAUAGACCAGUACAAUUGUCAGAGCGACUAAUGCAAAACUCUGGCAUUGUAGGGUCUGCCUCUCAGAAAUGGUGUCUCUUUAGGCUUUUGCCUUUCUUAAUGGCACACCGUGUUCCUCCCAGUUGCAAAUAUUGGGAUGUUUUUCUGAUCUGCCGUGAUAUUGUGGACAUUGUAAUUGCCCCAAAAGUAAGAAGGGACAGCUUAAGUAUAUUAAGCUUACUUGUUUGUGAAUUCCUUGAAAAAAUGAAAGAUACUUUUGGAAAUGUCAUAACUCCAAAAUGUCACUAUAUGAUUCACUAUCCCAGACUAAUUGCCAUGUAUGGCCCCCUGCGUUCACUAUGGUGUAUGCGCUUUGAAGCCAAACACCAGUAUUUUAAGAAUGUUGCGAGUAGCUGCAGAAAUUUUAUUAAUGUAGCAAAAACUUUAAGCGACAGGCACCAGAUGCGACAGUGCUGGGAGUUUUCCCCACACAACAUACUUGAUGACUUUGAGAUGGUGACAGGUACAAGCAGAUACUCCGUUUUCAUCGCUCCCAUUAGAGCUACAGAGAUGUCUUGCUAG